AAAAGAGGUUGUCAAGACAAUGUUUCUUAUCUCUACCAGUCUGCUAUACAUCUGUAGCAGCCAGGGAUAUUUGACAUCAUAUAU
ensembl:snoRNA SNORA63 Small nucleolar RNA SNORA63